ensembl:lncRNA
CUCGGGCCCCGGGGCUGGGGCGGACGGGCGGGGCCCUGGGCGCCCGGGCCGCCUCCCUGCUCUCUCCCGGCGUCUGGCCGCAGCGCCGGCUCCAGGUUUCCCCUCCCAGCGUGGGGUGGCAGCCUGGAGAGGCAUCUGCAGAAACCACGCGAGCCCCGGGGAGGAGAGCCCAUGGUGCACACAUAGGCGCGUGUCGGGGACCCCAAGCCCCUGGGCCCCGGGCACACUCGCAGAACCGCUGCAGGGACGUGGCCCAAGCUGGAAUUGCCCUGCGCACAGGCCAGGACCUUUGGGAGCAGCGACUGUCGAGAUAAGGUCAACGGCGGGCCCGCGGUGACUCAGCUCCCCUUGGCCCCGAGGAAGCUCGGCUGGCCCGGGGGGGCGGGGCCUGCGACGCUCCGCCCCCUGCUCCGGCUCCCGGAAGGCGCCCCACACCACCCCCAGCUUCCCAGAGGCGCCCAGAUUUCCCACGGGUUUUCCUGGUGGUGUCGUAACGAGCCCGGCCCUUUCGGAGCGUCCCAGGGCCCCGAGUCAGCUCCCUGUGACGGGACACAUGAGGAUCUGAGCGCCGCACGCUCCCUGACUGUGUGUGUGCGUGUGGUAAGGACAGGGCCAGACCCUCUGAGGCUUCCUCCCACCCCACUUCCUGUUUCAUCCAGAUGCCAACAUCCACGUGGACUAAUCUGCCGAGAUCAUUCCUGACCUCCAGCAUCACAAUUUCCAAACCUGCUCAGUGUUCCCCAGCUUCUCCUGCCUGACUCGCUGCAAGGUCAGAGAGCCUCUGACAUCUUAGCCUCCUACGUCACAUUAAAGGCCUCAGUGUCCCCUUUCUAGGUUCUGGGCCUCCCUCCACUCCUGCUCUUGAACCUUAACAAUGACUUUUUUUGUGUAUCGGACUGGGGAUUGAGUUACAGCCCAGCCCAUGUUUUAUUCUGAGACAGGGCCCUGCUAAAUUGCUAGUUCCAGGCUAGGCUGGAACUUGCUCUGAUCCUCCUGCUUCAGCCUCCCCAGUGUUCGGAUUACAGGCAUGCACCACCACGUCUGUCAUCAACAACCUUCUGUCCCGACUCAUUUGGAUCAUCUGGACAACCAACCACUUUCUCCAGCCCUAUGUUAGUUAAAGUCAUGCUAUUUGCUAAAACAAACACAUCCCAAACUGUGUAUCAGCUCAACCUAGUUCAUUUCCGGAUUGCAGAACGCUUCUGAGCAGGGAUGCCCGUCCUCCAGGUGAUGAUCCAGGAGCCGGGCUCCGCCAUCUCCAACGUGUGCUUUCCAGGGCUGUCAGGCCGGUGGCUUAGCAGCAGCAGAAAUUUAUUUCCCUUGGUUCAGGGGGCCAAAAGUCUGAGAUCAAGAUACCAACAUGCUCAGGCCCCGGGGGGCCCCUCCUCUGAGCUUCAGACUGCAAACUCCUCCUUGUGUCUCACUUAGGAAGAGACAAGCAGCUCGCUGGCUUCAUUCUACAGGUACAAUCUCAACCCAAAGGCUCUGCCCUUGGGUCCCAAUUACCUCCUAAUACUCCCCCUCCAAAUACUUUUACAGUGGGGGCUUGGGGAGGACACAAAAGUUCAGUCCAUAAAGGCGCAUCAGACUGGACGGAGGGGAAGGGCAGGGUGCAGAAGACACAGCUGCUGGUUCACUGCCCUGGCUGGGAGUGACAUCUCAUUCCUGGUCACCGUGCCAUCAGCAAGACAUCCGGGGCGUCCUGACUCCUCUGAAAGUCACAGGCCCAGCCCAUACUACAAGUCAGUCAACCUCCCUGAUGGAAUCCUUUGUCCUGGAGAAAGCUGGAGGUGGACAUAUCGGUGCAGAUGAAGAUUUAGGACCCUGAAGCCAGCGAGGCUCUGCAUUGCUGGUACCAGGGAUCGAACUCGGGACUUUGUGCUUUCGAGGCAGGUGGCGGCACCACUGAGCUACAUCCCCGGCCUGUGGGCUCCGAUUCUCAUUUCCCACAAGUUUCUUAAUACCCCUGCUGGCCCAGCCCCUGCCCCAGCCUCACUCAGCACAGGAGAACUUAGGGGCCAGAAUGCUAAGAUGCCCCAGUGCCCCCCCCCCCCGGAGCAUGUCCAGCCUUGCACCCUGGCCUCUCCCCAGGCUUCAGACCCGCGUCUCCUGCUGCCUCCAGGACACUUCCACCUGGAUCCCCCAGCUCUUCCAUAGGGGACGGGUGUCAGCACCCAGCCCACCUCUCCCGUGGUGUUUUUUCCUGUGAUGGUGACACCCUCAUCCCAACUGGAAACUUGAGGGGCAUCCUUGUCUUGUUUCUCAGAUUAAACUCUGGCCGAACUUUUUUGGUUUUCUUUUUGGUGGUACUGGGGGCUACAUUCGGGUCCUUCACACUGAGCUACAUCCCCAGCCCUUUUUAUUUUUUACUUUGAGACAGAGUCCUCUUAAGUCACUAAGUUGCCCAGGCUGGGUACGAACUUGCCAUCCUCCUGUCUCAGCCUCCCAGCAUGCUGGGAUUACGUAUGUGGAGCACCAUACCCAGCUCCAGGACAUUUCUUUUUAAUUCUUUUUUUUUUUUUUUUUUUUUGUUGGGGAUGGAACUCAGGACCUUGCGCUUGUGAGGCAGGCUUGGUGCCACUGAGCUGAAUCCCUGGCCCUUCCAAGACAUUUCUGAAGUCGGUUUCCUCUGCUCCUUUCCUGGGUUCCCACCUCAGCGCUUGCAGUCAUGGCAGCAGCGGCCGCCUCAAGUUCUUUAAGCCUCCAGUCCGUGGCUUCUCCAGCAGCAGCCACCGUGACUGUUCUGGAGUAAGGAUCUGAUCUCAGACCCUGUAAUCUAUAGGCAAAGCAUGGGCUCCCCUUUGAGGUUCCCAAGGCACCACUAACCGACCCCACUUCCCCUUCAGCCAGCCCCUCACUCAACGUUCCAGAAACACCCAGCUCUCUUCUGGAUGUGUCCACAGGACCUGGGCCCCACGAGGGGAACGCAGCUGGGCCUCCCAAGGUCCUUCUCCCCAGACCACCCUCUGCUCUCCUGGCUGUGCUGACCACCGCCCUCGACAAAGCCUUUGCAUGCCUGCCUCCAGCACCAGGGGGCAGGAAGAGCUCACGGUGGAGCUCAGCGCCUGGUACAUGGCUUAGCAUCCAGUAGGUGCUCAAUGCAUGCUCCCUGAAUAGGUGAAGAGGGGGAGAAGGUACCCGUUUGAGAGAUGGAAAACCUUUAUUUGGAUCUGCUUGCCUUAUGCCAUCCUGCCUCGUGCUGAAUGAACAUUUCCUGCUCCUGCUCAGCAGAGCCAAAUUGUAUAUGUGUGUGUAUCUGUGAAAUCCGAUCCUCUGCCCGAGAGCCUGCCCAUCCAUUAAUCGUGACUGGCUAUUUGCACAAAGCCGCUUCUCUCAGAGCGCUUCUGCAUGGAGCGCCAGGCUCUCCUGCUCUGCCAGGGCUUCGGGCUACCUCACGACUGACUCGGGCUCUCACGGGCCGUCCCUCAGGGCCUUGGGAGGUGAGCCAGGAAGAAACAUUUCCUUCUUUUCUAUCUUCUUUUCCCUCCUUGCCCUACCCCUAGAUAUAUUUUUUCUUUUUUUUCUUUUUGUAGUGCUGGAGGUCAAGCCUAGGGCCUUGCCGGUGCUAGGCAAGUACUCUACCGAGAAAAGCUGUUCAAGGGUAACCACUGUCCCAGGGAGUGGCGCAAGUCAGGCAUUUGCUCUCUGCUCUGGAACAGACCACCUUGCUCCCUGCCUGCCUCCCGGGAUGUGGGAAACUCCUGUGCCUGGGGACGGGGCAGCCGCACCCCCCAGCCCCCAGGUCACUGGGCUGUGGCUGUUCUCGGUAGACAGCCACCCAUGCCGGCUGGGACAAGAGUGGGACUCCAGGUGCAGGAGGUCCCCUAGGGGCUCACUGGACAGCUGUCUUUCUCUCUGGACCACAGGGUUUUCUCAUUGGUUCCCCUUCUCACAAGGCCCGUGACCAGCUCACAAGGCCUCUCAUGAC